CCAGACUCCUACGGGAGGCAGCAGUGGGGAAUAUUGCACAAUGGGGGAAACCCUGAUGCAGCGACGCCGCGUGAAGGAUGAAGUAUUUCGGUAUGUAAACUUCUAUCAGCAGGGAAGAAAAUGACGGUACCUGACUAAGAAGCCCCGGCUAACUACGUGCCAGCAGCCGCGGUAAUACGUAGGGGGCAAGCGUUAUCCGGAUUUACUGGGUGUAAAGGGAGCGUAGACGGCAUGGCAAGUCUGAUGUGAAAACCCGGGGCUCAACCCCGGGACUGCAUUGGAAACUGUCAGGCUGGAGUGUCGGAGAGGCAAGUGGAAUUCCUAGUGUAGCGGUGAAAUGCGUAGAUAUUAGGAGGAACACCAGUGGCGAAGGCGGCUUGCUGGACGAUGACUGACGUUGAGGCUCGAAAGCGUGGGGAGCAAACAGGAUUAGAUACCCUGGUAA
rnacentral:rRNA from 1 species